GGGGAAGUAUUGCACAAUGGGCGCAAGCCUGAUGCAGCCAUGCCGCGUGUAUGAAGAAGGCCUUCGGGUUGUAAAGUACUUUCAGCGGGGAGGAAGGCGUUGUGGUUAAUAACCACAGCGAUUGACGUUACCCGCAGAAGAAGCACCGGCUAACUCCGUGCCAGCAGCCGCGGUAAUACGGAGGGUGCAAGCGUUAAUCGGAAUUACUGGGCGUAAAGCGCACGCAGGCGGUCUGUCAAGUCGGAUGUGAAAUCCCCGGGCUCAACCUGGGAACUGCAUUCGAAACUGGCAGGCUAGAGUCUUGUAGAGGGGGUAGAAUUCCAGGUGUAGCGGUGAAAUUGCGUAGAGAUCUGGAGGAAUACCGGUGGCGAAGGCGGCCCCCUGACAAAGACUGACGCUCAGGUGCG
rnacentral:rRNA from 1 species